UUUCCGUAGGUGAACCUGCGGAAGGAUCAUUAUUGGAUUUUGAAACUUCAGGCUGCUGCUGGCUCUCCACGGAGGGCAUGUGAACGCUUGUUGUCCAUUAUUUCUCCCACUGUGCACAAAUUGUAGACCUUUCAGUAGGCCUAUGUUGUUUUUCACAAUCUCUGAAUGUAAUAGAAUGGUUUUGAAUCUUGGGAAAUACAAUACAACUUUCAGCAACGGAUCUCUUGGCUCUC
rnacentral:misc_RNA from 1 species